ACAUGUGCUCUUCCAAUGACUUCACAGUGGACAAGCCUGGUAGACACCACCUGAACCAAGCGAUCAAAGUGAACAGCAUCGGUAAUGGGGCUGACUGAAAUCAUGUACCACCUGAUAGGAUGUAAUGAGAAGAACACAGCAUCAUUACUGUGAUAGUCUUGCCAAAGAUACAUAACCUGAAUCUAAUCAUGAGGAGACAUCAAGCAAACCCAAACUGAGGGACAUUAUACAAAGUAACUGGCCUCUGAUCUUCAAAAGUGUCAAAGUCAUGAAAGUUAAGGAAACGUAGGCUUUGAACUGGAUUCUUUUGCCACAGAAGUUACUAUGGAAUGAUUGGUAAACUUUAGAGCCUAGGGAUUAGGUGGCAGUAAUGUGCCAGGGUUAGUCUCCUAAUUUUCAUGGUUCUAUUUUAGAACAGUGUUGUGUACAGGAAGUACAACAUUUGGUGGGGAUGGGACAACUACCUCUCAGAUGGUUCAGAAAAGAUAAAUUUCCUGUUUUUCCAACUUUUCUCAAAGUUUGAUAUUCUUUAGAAAUAAAAAAUUAAAAAUAGCAGUGUUGUACCUUCCUGAUACAACCCUUUGGAUAGCAAAUUAAUGAUAUGCAUCAAAAGCCUUAUUAAAUAGGACCUGGGGAUCAUCAUUCUAAGUGAAGUACGCCAGAAAGGGUGAAAUACCGUAUGAUAUCACUCAUAUGUGGAAUCUAAAAAAAAAA